AAUAUUGGACAAUGGGGGCAACCCUGAUCCAGCCAUGCCGCGUGAGUGAUGAAGGCCCNAGGGUUNUNAAGCUCUUUCCUUGGGGNCGAUAAUGACGGUACCCACACAAGAAGCCCUGGCUUACUUCGUGCCAGCAGCCGCGGGAAUACGAAGGGGGCUAGCGUUGUUCGGAUUUACUGGGCGUAAAGGGCACGUAGGCGGAUUGGUCAGUUAAGAGUGAAAUCCCGGAGCUCAACUCCGGAACUGCCUUUAAUACUGCCAGUCUUGAGUCCGAGAGAGGUGAGUGGAACUCCUAGUGUAGAGGUGGAAUUCGUAGAUAUUAGGAAGAACACCAGGGGCGAAGGCGGCUCACUGGCUCGGUACUGACGCUGAGGUGCGAAAGCGUGGGGAGCAAAC
rnacentral:rRNA from 1 species